GAGAGUAUAGCUGAAGCAGUAGAGCACAUGCUUAGCAUGUAUGAGGUCCUGGGUUCAAGCCCCAGUAUCUCC
rnacentral:tRNA from 1 species